rnacentral:misc_RNA from 1 species
UGUAGGAGUGAGCCUGCUCGCGAUAGCGUUGUGUCAGUCUCCAAACAUGGCGACUGGUGCGCCGCCAUCGCGAGCAGGCUCACUCCUACA